UAACAGUUGCUCUUCCUGUGCGUCCCCAUU
rnacentral:piRNA from 1 species